CCACAAGGGACCUCAGCAGUGAUUAACAUUGAGCAUUAGCGAAAGCUUGACUCAGUUAAAGUAAACAGAGCCGGCUAAUCUGGUGCCAGCCGCCGCGGUUACACCACGUGGCUCAAAUUGACCCCAUUCGGCGUAAAGCGUGAUUAAAGUUAAACAUCACUAGAAUUAAACUAAAACUAAGCUGUGACACGCUUGUUUAUAAGAAAUACAAAAACGAAAGUUAUUCUAACACAAUCGACUUGAACUCACGACAGCUGGGAAACAAACUGGGAUUAGAUACCCCACUAUGCCCAGCCGUAAACUUUUACUUACACUCAAUCGCCAGGGAACUACGAGCUAAGCUUAAAACCCAAAGGACUUGACGGUACCCCAUAUCCCCCUAGAGGAGCCUGUCCUAUAAUCGAUAACCCACGUUAAACCUCAGCGUUUUUAGUUAAUCAG
rnacentral:rRNA from 1 species